UACGGAGGGAGCUAGCGUUGUUCGGAAUUACUGGGCGUAAAGCGCACGUAGGCGGCGAUUCAAGUCAGAGGUGAAAGCCCGGGGCUCAACCCCCGGAACUGCCUUUGAAACUAGAUUGCUAGAAUCCUGGAGAGGUUAGUGGAAUUCCGAGUGUAGAGGUGAAAUUCGUAGAUAUUCGGAAGAACACCAGUGGCGAAGGCGACUAACUGGACAGAUAUUGACGCUGAGGUGCGAAAGCGUGGGGAGCAAACAGG
rnacentral:rRNA from 1 species